CGACCGGCGCACGGUGAGUAACGCGUAUCCAACCUGCCCACCACUUGGGAUAACCUUGCGAAAGUAAGACUAAUACCCAAUGAUAUCUCUAGAAGACAUCUGAAAGAGAUUAAAGAUUUAUCGGUGAUGGAUGGGGAUGCGUCUGAUUAGCUUGUUGGCGGGGUAACGGCCCACCAAGGCGACGAUCAGUAGGGGUUCUGAGAGGAAGGUCCCCCACAUUGGAACUGAGACACGGUCCAA
rnacentral:rRNA from 1 species